GCUCGCCACCGGUCCGCGCGUAACCUACCUUCCUUCCGGGAGACGAGUCCGCAGAUGAGAGGAGGCAUGGACGCCGCCACGUCCGUCACGCCGGGCACCAUGUCCCACAUCCUUGCGAACCCGUCACCGGCGACGCCGCCGAGAUCCUAGAGCUCGUCGUCCAGGUCGUCGACCUCAAGUCCAUCGGCACGGGCAGCCGGUUCAGGUGAGUUCUCAGCUACUCUGCUACCUCAUUCUGCUGGAUCUGUUCUCCCGCUAGUUUUUGCUCCGUAGGACGGCGGAUCUGUACUAUUCUUAGCGCGGUUCCUCUGGAUUUGGUCGGCUGGUCUGACGAGCAUCCGCUUGGAUUUGUUGGAUCUGGCGUUCGCUCCGGCAACCUGCAGAACCUCGGCCUGAUCCGCAUCCUCGACUACACCUGCAACGCCCUCCCUCCCAAAAACGACAAGCCUUGAUUAUCAGCAAAUGCGAGGUUGCAUCCCAAGCGCUCGACGCCGAGAUCAUUAGCGAAGCCAAGAAACAAGAGGAGCCUGCGAUUGUCCUCAAGCCCAAGGACGAAGGCGUGGUUCUGUCCAAGCCCGCAAAUGCUCCCCUGCCUUGGGUGUUUUCUUUUCUUCUUUUUUGAAAUUUUUCUGAAAUAGAGAUGCAUGUGGGAUUGUAUUGAGUGUGUCAAUCUUGUAAUUGAUUCUUUGAAUGAUUUGUGAGAUUUAUGGAAUUUGUAUCGAUUGAUUUAAUAUUU